CAUAGUUGAAUGGCAGAUUCCUGGACAAUGGGAUAGAUGAAAAUCACAGCCCUCUUAUCAAAGAGAAGAACAGAAAGGUAUGAGAGAGCUGACAGAAUACAGCAGAAAAGAAGCCAUGAGGGGGAAGAAAUGGACUGUAAAAGAAGUACAAAUCGGGAGAUUUGCUGAAUGAUAAGAUCAGACUCAAGGGGCCUCCAGAAGUCUGCCUUUGGUCAAAAUGUUUUUGAACAAAAAUGGUCCAGAGCUCUCUGCAGCCCUGCACAGAUAUGAAAGUCAUGCUAGAGCAAGAAUCAUGAUUAAAGAAUGAAAAUAAAGCUGAAGUCUGCACUGAGGAAUCUUCUUCGUUGGCACCCCUCUGAUGCUUGCUGCAACAGUAUUUGAGCACAUCUUCAGAAAAAUGUACUCCUCCUCAACUCCCAGUUUGAGGCAGGAAAGUAUUCUCCACAUUUCACAGACGAAAGAAAAGAUUAAGUCACUUUCUCUGUACAAUAUAGGGAGCAAGUGCCAAGGGCUCAAAACGUGUCCAGCUCUCUCAGAUUACACUCCAGUGUCCUAAUUAUUAUGGCAAUUAGCCUCUUGCGUGCAUUAUGGUUUAACUCACUAUAUAUCAUGUUAUCUCUGCAAUGAAUGUAAAAGAGCUAAGCCUAGCAGACGUUAUCAGGGGACAACGCUCUACAGGACAGUGCUCAGUUCAGCUUUGUCUGUCUGGCAAGCAAGCAGUACGUGAGCAUGUGGAACGAGAAGUAUGGGCUCAUGUAACAAAGCCUUAGAAGCAGCCCUACAAUCACUUUUUUAAACUGUUGUUUUCCAGGCAAAUGCUUCAUGGAGUAAGAUUCACACCGCUUUUAUUGGACUGUGUGCAUUUGAUCAGUGGUAGAGGAAAGCACCAAUUCCACAGUGUACCUAUAUUUCCUGAACAAAUGUUGGACAAUAAUAAGCUGGAGAAAGGCAACAGUGAUGGAAAUGACUGUAUGAAUCAGCACUGAGAUGGUGAUAAAAUAGCUGCAACUGCAUUUGUGCUGUGCUGGACACUGUGUUGUGCAAAAGACCCAGUGCUUCGAUUAGCCAACUAUGUGUGGAAGCAGAGAGAGAGAUGUUAGUGAAAAUACAGCAUUACCACUUCUGCCUUCUGCUGACUCCUAGCACUGCCAUCCCACAGCAAAGCUCAGACAUUUGCCAAACAGUAGUUUCCCCAAGGCUAUUCCUUCCUCAUGGCGCCCCUCUUGCUGCAUCCUCCACUCUGUAGUGACACCUCUGACUCAUCUGGGAGAACAGGGUCUCUUCUGUUUCCAUGUACUUGCAUAUUUUCUACAAGAAAAGAAGAUAAUUACUUGACUAUAGCUUGAUUAUAGAGAAACCACUCUGCAAUGUUGUAAAUUUCCCAGUAUGACUGAUUGUUAUCUUCUAAAAACAGCUCUGUAAAUCUACUGCACUUGUGGAAACUGCAUUAAAUAUGUCCUUAAAGCUUUGACAUAUGAUUCAGUCUACACUAGUUUUCCAAAGACAUGUCUCUGAACUUCCUCUGGCAUUUAAAGUUUCUACCACCCACCUCCUGUAGUCCAGAGGUGUUUAAAAUACAGUAGAAAGCUUCUUUAAUAGUGCAAAAUACACAAUUUUUCAUCAUCCCUUAUUUUUGAAGGUUGUAUUUACUAGGAAAAAAAAUCAUUCUGGGCUACUACCUGGACUGAGAAGAAGCAGCCUAUUUCAGAUGGAAAAAAGUAAAGCAGAGUUACAGGGAGCUGAAAGGCAUCUCACAGAAAAGUUUGUGCAGCUUUAGUGACAGGCACUGCUUUACAUUCUGCCUAUAACAAGCACACAUUUCAUUGCAGCUUCAACUCCAGCUGGGAGCAGAGCUAUGUAUGCACUAAAGUAAUAUACAGUGAAAGGAUAGUUGUAUGGUAGAAACAAAGUACUGGGUGUCAGGAGAUAUGGGUUUCAGACCUGGCUUUGCCCUCAACUAUGCAUUGAAAUAAACCACUUGGUUGGUUUCUCUCUCCCUCUGAAUAGCCACUUGUAAAAUUAAUGCAGUACUUAUACACCUCUUGGAGGUGCUGGAUUGCUAAGUCAGUUUCUUGGAGGAUUAUUUUAGGUGAACCGUAGAAGUUGCUAAAAUGUUACUGCAGACACUGAAAGAAUUCACCUUCUGCCUUUAGCAUCAUUCUUAAUCAUGUAGCUAAAAGGAUCUCAGAUAGUCCUGAUGCUUUGGGGAGCCAGUGGAAGUAAUAUCAUCAAUGACUAGUUAAGUAUAUUGUUCGACUGUGGGCAGAGUUUUAUAUUCUUUGCUUUAGAUAUCUAACUUUAAACUACUGAAAGUCUACAUUUAACUUAGGAGCCAAGUCUUCCUGGGUUAUCUGUAUUAUCUGUAGAGACCUAUGCUCCUGCAAAAGGGCCUUCCAAGGUAUCUAAAUUAGGUUUUCCUUUUAAACUGCUCUCCAGAAGAGCCUAUUUAUCAUCGUUAACUAUGCAGGGUAUAAAGAGUAAUUAGGAAUGGGAUUCAGCUCACCAGGUUUCAGUGCCUGACAGGUAGAUGCUUGCAUCUGAACUAGCCAUUUGGACUCUGUGGUGAGAAACAAGCACUUCAGAGUGCAAAAUAGACAUUUCUCACAAAAGAUGUCUGUUUCUCCACGCUGCCCUAAAGAGAAUGUGUACAGUUGCUAUUAAGUAAAUCUCUCUAUUGAAGAAGUAUCAAGUUAGAAUCCUAAAGUCUGAAUGCCUCCUUCUGGCCUGCUCCCUACCCAUCCCUCAUGUGAAAAAAAAAAUAUAUAUAUAUGUUAUUCUUAGGGUUUAAAACUAACAACAUGAUUUUCGACACAGCUUUAAACAAAGAUUAGCCCCCAAACAGAAAUUCUGGCAGCAGAUAGUUUUGGUCUGCCUCUUACUCUGAAGUGACAAAACUUUUGUUGAACAGGCUUCUUGGGCUCAGGAUUUAAUUUUAAGGUAGGCAUGCCAAACCCAAAUAGGCCAGCGCUCAGGGCAAUUUGCCUGAUUCAGAACAAGAACAUGAGUCUCAGUUUUUCUUAUGCCAGAUGAGAGCUUACGGACUGAGUUGUUGGCAGUUCUUCUCUGGGCCUCUCUCUUUUUCUCCUGCCUCCCACUCUCCCUGUCUCCCUUCUCCCAACCCCUGAAAAAAGUUUUUGCCAGGUUUGCCUUAGUUUCUUUCUCCAUCAGAAUAGAAACAUAUUUCAAAAUCUAAAAUCUGUGACAAAACAGAAUUCUUGUUUUCAGGCCAACGUGCCUAAAAGAAUCCUUAGCAUGAUCAGGUCAGUGUAAUCCAUGUUGCUUAAGUGGUCGAAAGCCUCUCUGUUUUUAAAGAUAAAAAUAAGCUUGUGGGAAGCAUCAAAUGAAAAAUGUUUUAGGAAAAGGAAUUUAAGCGAGUUUUUCAAAGUGACAUAUAAAAACAAAAAGAAUGUUUUUUUUAAUUUUCUGGCUUCACUUAGUUUCCUGUUUCUGUGUGUUACAAUCGCAUUUUAAUAAAGAUAUUAUUGCAUUCUUUUUGUCGUAGAUACUGUUUUGUGGUAAAUAAAAUAGGAUCCUGCUUUUUCCAA